rnacentral:tRNA from 1 species
GCCUUGAUAGCUCAAUUGGAUAGAGUUCUUGACUUCGAAUCAAGCGGUUGGGGGUUCAAGUCCCUCUCAGGGCG